rnacentral:rRNA from 1 species
AACGAACGCUGGCGGCAUGCCUAACACAUGCAAGUCGAACGAAACCUCCGGGAUUAGUGGCGCAAGCGAGAGUAAAGCGUUGGAACCUGCCCUUAGGUUUGGAAGAACUCCCCGAAGGGGGUGCUAAUACCGGAUAAUGUCUUCGGACCAAAGAUUUAUCGCCUUUGGAUGGGCCCGCGUUGGAUUAGCCAGUUGGUAGGGUAAAAGCCUAUCAAGGCGUCGAUACAUAGCUGGGCAGAGAGGAUGAGCAGCCACACUGAGACUAAGACACGGCCCGGACUCCUACGGGAGGCAGCAGAGGCGAAUACUGGACAAUGGGCUAAAGGCUGAUCCAGCUAGGCCGCGAAAGUGAUGAAGGCCUGAGGGAUGUAAAGCUCUUUUACACGGGAUGAUAAUGACAGUACCAGGAGAAUAAGCUCCGGCUAACUUCGUG